rnacentral:tRNA from 1 species
GUCGUAAUAGUUUAAUGGUAGAACGUUUCCGUGGUAAGGAAAAGGAAAGAGUUCAAUUCUCUUUUAUGACA